UCAGAUUAAUUAAGAGACUUGUUCACACCCUUUAGGACCUAUAGAAAAGCUUUAAACUAGAUGGAAUGUAAGAGUUGAGUGUCUGGAGUGAAAAAGUGAGAGCCAUACCAGAAAAGGAAUUGCCUGUAAGAAAGGAGAGCUCUUCAAUCUUAACAUUUAUUGGUUGCCAUCACCAACAACCUCACCAACCUUGGUCAGAGGAUGAUUUUGUGAUUCUCAAAGAUCUGAAGGAUUUUGUAUUUCCUCCUCUUCUUAUAGUUAUAUUAACAUAGCAUCAGAGACAACAUCAGAUGGCAACAAUGUCUGCAUUGGGAUCCCAAAACAACCUUGAUUUGGCUAGGAAUGGAAGAUUUAAUGAUCUAUAAGGAGCCUACUAAGAAGAAUAUUGGAAGACAUUUUGGAAAAGUUUCUCCUUAGUUGUGAAUCCAAAGAUCAACUAAGUGCUGACCAUGUCAUUAUAUGAGAGCCAAGGACCUGGCACAGAUGGCACACUUAUCAAAUUUGCAGAUGACACAAAGUUGGCAAGAAUAACCAACACAAUGGAUGGCAGAGGCAAGAUGUUUAAAAGCCAGGCUACAGUACUGAACUGAAUUUAAUAAAAUGAUGUUUAAUGGACUUAACAAGGCAAAUAGCCAGCUCUCCCACCUCCAAACUAGAACAGAAAAAGAAUUGUACUUAGACCUGUAAAUCUCUAUUAUGCACAAAUUGCUUUUCUUUAAAAUAUAAUGUGAACAUAUUAAAUACAAUAUGAAUAAUAAAUUCAACAUAACUUUCAAAGCUACUCAACUUCUCUGCUUAUCUGGCAUUCCUUCUGUACUCUUCCAUGAAUUUUUUUUAAAAAUCACUACAUUAUGAAGGCAGUUUUCAGACUAUUUC